rnacentral:rRNA from 1 species
UCCGUAGGGUGCGAGCGUUGUCCGGAAUUACUGGGCGUAAAGCGCUCGUAGGUGGUUUGUCGCGUUGUCCGUGAAAACUCACAACUCAAUUGUGGGCGUGCGGGCGAUACGGGCAGACUGGAGUACUGCAGGGGAGACUGGAAUUCCUGGUGUAGCGGUGGAAUGCGCAGAUAUCAGGAGGAACACCGGUGGCGAAGGCGGGUCUCUGGACGGUAACGGACGCUGAGACGCGAAAGCGUGGGGAGCAAACAGG